CACAUGAGUGGUGAGCGUUAUUCGUAGUUAUUGAGUGUAAAAGAUGCGCAGACGAGAAGUUCAAUUUUUACGGACCAAGUUGGUAACUCAGUUUCCCUAAAAAUUAGUUCUUUUUUGAGUAAAUGUAAAUUGUGAAAUUCUUACAUAUUAGCGAUGAAAUGCAGUAAGUGUGUAGGGAUGACCAAAUAUGAAAAUAUCAUGAUUAUAUUUACCGACGUUCAGGCAUGAAAGCAGAAGAAUCGACAAGGAUUAGUGACCCUUUUAGUUUUUGCUGUAAAAGAUGAGUAUUAGGUUUUUUUUUGUUAAAGAAAUUAAAGCCUUAGCUAACGCGUUAAAUACUCUACUUGGGUAGUACAAUUGCAAAGUUGAAACUUAACAGAAUUGGCGGGAAUUUGCAUAACAGCUGGAAUAUGUGGUUUAAUGCGAUAAUCCACGCAUAACCUUACUAACAUUGAAAAUUUUAUUUAUUUAAACGUAGUGGUUUUAAGUUGAAGAUAAAGUUUUAGCGGUCCCUGCAUGGCUGUCGUCCAGUUCGUGUUGUAAAAUGUAAAAUUAAGUUUUUAAACGAAUGCAACCCAAAAUUAUAGUUUAAUUUUAUAUUUUUAUAUUAUAAUAAAUAUAUUUUUUUCUAUAAUAUAUGCUCAGUAUUUUUAGUUUUUUAAAUUUACUGAUGAUUUGUGGGGAAUUUGGCUGACGGCAAGUCUUUAUGGGCUACGUAUGUUAGGCUACACACGUAUUACAAGGGUAAAAACAAUAAGUAAUUAGGUGCAAACUUUAAUAAAUCUUUAAAAAUUACCUUAAUUCAGAUUAUUUUCUGCAAGUCGAAAAUAUGAAGAUGAAAUUGUUAGUAAUCAUAAAAUAGUAUGUUAUGGUGAAUUAAAAUGCAAAUUUUGCACACACCGCCCAUCACGCUC
rnacentral:rRNA from 1 species